AGCUCAGUGGGCAGAGCAUCAGACUUAAAAUCUGAGGGUCAGGGGUUCAUGUCCUUA
rnacentral:tRNA from 1 species